GACGAAGGGGGCUAGCGUUGUUCGGAGUUACUGGGCGUAAAGGGCGCGUAGGCGGCGCACCAAGUCAGGCGUGAAAGCCCUGGGCUCAACCCGGGAAUUGCGCUUGAGACUGGUGUGCUUGAGUACGGGAGAGGAUAGUGGAAUUCCCAGUGUAGAGGUGAAAUUCGUAGAUAUUGGGAAGAACACCGGUGGCGAAGGCGGCUAUCUGGACCGUAACUGACGCUGAGGCGCGAAAGCGUGGGGAUCAAACAGG
rnacentral:rRNA from 1 species